rnacentral:rRNA from 1 species
UAGAGUUUGAUCCUGGCUCAGAUUGAACGCUGGCGGCAUGCUUUACACAUGCAAGUCGAACGGCAGCGGGGGCUUCGGCCUGCCGGCGAGUGGCGAACGGGUGAGUAAUGCAUCGGAACGUGCCCAUGUCGUGGGGGAUAACUACGCGAAAGCGUAGCUAAUACCGCAUACGCCCUGAGGGGGAAAGCGGGGGAUUCUUCGGAACCUCGCGCGAUUGGAGCGGCCGAUGUCAGAUUAGCUAGUUGGUGAGGUAAAGGCUCACCAAGGCGACGAUCUGUAGCGGGUCUGAGAGGAUGAUCCGCCACACUGGGACUGAGACACGGCCCAGACUCCUACGGGAGGCAGCAGUGGGGAAUUUUGGACAAUGGGCGCAAGCCUGAUCCAGCCAUGCCGCGUGAGUGAAGAAGGCCUUCGGGUUGUAAAGCUCUUUCGGCCGGGAAGAAAUCGGCGACUCUAACAUAGUCGCUGGAUGACGGUACCGGACUAAGAAGCACCGGCUAACUACGUGCCAGCAGCCGCGGUAAUACGUAGGUGCGAGCGUUAUCCGAAUUACUGGGCGUAAA